rnacentral:rRNA from 1 species
CGAGCGAACAGAUAAGGAGCUUGCUCCUUUGACGUUAGCGGCGGACGGGUGAGUAACACGUGGGUAACCUACCUAUAAGACUGGGAUAACUUCGGGAAACCGGAGCUAAUACCGGAUAACAUUUGGAACCGCAUGGUUCUAAAGUGAAAGAUGGUUUUGCUAUCACUUAUAGAUGGACCCGCGCCGUAUUAGCUAGUUGGUAAGGUAACGGCUUACCAAGGCGACGAUACGUAGCCGACCUGAGAGGGUGAUCGGCCACACUGGAACUGAGACACGGUCCAGACUCCUACGGGAGGCAGCAGUAGGGAAUCUUCCGCAAUGGGCGAAAGCCUGACGGAGCAACGCCGCGUGAGUGAUGAAGGGUUUCGGCUCGUAAAACUCUGUUAUUAGGGAAGAACAAAUGUGUAAGUAACUGUGCACGUCUUGACGGUACCUAAUCAGAAAGCCACGGCUAACUACGUGCCAGCAGCCGCGGUAAUACGUAGGUGGCAAGCGUUAUCCGGAAUUAUUGGGCGUAAAGCGCGCGUAGGCGGUUUCUUAAGUCUGAUGUGAAAGCCCACGGCUCAACCGUGGAGGGUCAUUGGAAACUGGGAAACUUGAGUGCAGAAGAGGAAAGUGGAAUUCCAUGUGUAGCGGUGAAAUGCGCAGAGAUAUGGAGGAACACCAGUGGCGAAGGCGACUUUCUGGUCUGUAACUGACGCUGAUGUGCGAAAGCGUGGGGAUCAAACAGGAUUAGAUACCCUGGUAGUCCACGCCGUAAACGAUGAGUGCUAAGUGUUAGGGGGUUUCCGCCCCUUAGUGCUGCAGCUAACGCAUUAAGCACUCCGCCUGGGGAGUACGACCGCAAGGUUGAAACUCAAAGGAAUUGACGGGGACCCGCACAAGCGGUGGAGCAUGUGGUUUAAUUCGAAGCAACGCGAAGAACCUUACCAAAUCUUGACAUCCUUUGAAAACUCUAGAGAUAGAGCUUUCCCCUUCGGGGGACAAAGUGACAGGUGGUGCAUGGUUGUCGUCAGCUCGUGUCGUGAGAUGUUGGGUUAAGUCCCGCAACGAGCGCAACCCUUAAGCUUAGUUGCCAUCAUUAAGUUGGGCACUCUAGGUUGACUGCCGGUGACAAACCGGAGGAAGGUGGGGAUGACGUCAAAUCAUCAUGCCCCUUAUGAUUUGGGCUACACACGUGCUACAAUGGACAAUACAAAGGGCAGCUAAACCGCGAGGUCAUGCAAAUCCCAUAAAGUUGUUCUCAGUUCGGAUUGUAGUCUGCAACUCGACUACAUGAAGCUGGAAUCGCUAGUAAUCGUAGAUCAGCAUGCUACGGUGAAUACGUUCCCGGGUCUUGUACACACCGCCCGUCACACCACGAGAGUUUGUAACACCCGAAGCCGGUGGAGUAACCAUUUAUGGAGCUAG